UUGUUUGCGGGUAGUGCCCUUAGC
rnacentral:siRNA from 1 species